rnacentral:rRNA from 1 species
CGUCUAGGCGGCCGCCUAAGUCCCAUGUGAAAGCUCCCGGCUCAACUGGGAGAGGGCAUGGGAAACUGGGCAGCUUGAGACUCGGAGGGGGGUGCGGAAUUCCCGGUGGAGCGGUGAAAUGCGUUGAGAUCGGGAGGAACCCCAGUAGCGAAGGCGGCACCCUGGCCGAGAUCUGACGCUGAAGCGCGACAGCGUGGGGAGCGAACG